rnacentral:rRNA from 1 species
GACGAACUGUCCUAACGUUGUUCGGAAUCACUGGGCUUAAAGGGCGCGUAGGCGGUCCCACAAGUCAGGGGUGAAAUCCUGCAGCUCAACUGCAGAAGUGCCUCUGAUACUGUAGGUCUUGAGGGAGAUAGGGGUGUGCGGAACUUCCAGUGGAGCGGUGAAAUGCGUUGAUAUUGGAAGGAACGCCGGUGGCGAAAGCGGCGCACUGGAUCUCUUCUGACGCUGAGGCGCGAAAGCUAGGGGAGCAAACGGG